GGCGCAGUGGCAGAGUGGUCUAAUGCGUGAGACUAGAAUCGGUGAUUCUAAUCACAGUGCAAUCUCAUCUCUUCGGAGGCGUCUGUUCAAAUCAGGCCUGCGUCG
rnacentral:tRNA from 1 species